CUCCUCUUCUUCCUCUUCCUCUUCAUCGGAGUCUUCCUCUACUCCUUCCCUAACUACGCAGCCAUGAAGAUGGUCGGACCGUUCAGUGGACCUGCUAAAGGAACUAAUUGAACAACUAGCUAAAUAAAAAAAA